rnacentral:lncRNA from 1 species
CACCGUGCCUGGCUAAUUUUUCUUGUAUUUUUAGUAGAAGCGGGGUUUCGCCAUGUUGGCCAGGCUGGUCUCAAACUCCUGACCUCAGGUGAUCUGCCCGCCUCGGCUCCCCCAAAGUGCUGGGAUUACAGGUGUGAGCCAUUGCGCCUGGUCUUGAUUCGGUUUUUAAUGCACAGAUACUAACAGCAAUAUUCACCAAACUCUAAUAAAAUGUAAGUGCUCUUGCAAUCGUAUCUGUACUAUCCUUCCAAAUUAUUUUUAAUCCCAGCUCUUUCUAUCUUUGUUUAGACACAGGUGUAAUUUCUGCUUAGUUGUCUCAUGAUGUAGCUCAGCGUCUGUGUCUCUUUCUUACUUUGCAGUGUGGAGUAGUUCCCUACCAGGACAUAGUUAAUAACCCAUAAAGGUCUCUGCUUAAGUAAGAAGUCCAUUUCUGUGAACCAUAACCCAGAUAUAGCAAUGCCAGACUGUGUCUCCUAUCAAAAUUUAUUGAAAUGGUAGAUUUUUGGAUUCCUGCGGUCACACCUUGCAACCAGUCUCCCACUUGUCUGCCACAGUUUCCCUAAAUUGGAUUCUCUGAAUCUGGAAGUUCCAGGAAACCUUAGGUCGAGUCCAGUGACAUUACUCAAUGCAACAGCCCAACUGUUUCUCCAGAGAUCCUGGUUCUUGGUGACAAUGUCCCUUCUUGGCAUGGUUAUUUAAGGGGAAGUUGGGCCCAGAUAAGAGGGGCUCCAUGGCUCACCGGAGUUGGCCAUUAACGC